rnacentral:rRNA from 1 species
UUUGUGGCGAAGUUAACGCGAUAAGUCGACCGCCUGGGGAGUACGGCCGCAAGGUUAAAACUCAAAUGAAUUGACGGGGGCCCGCACAAGCGGUGGAGCAUGUGGUUUAAUUCGAUGCAACGCGAAGAACCUUACCUACCCUUGACAUCUACAGAAGCCGGAAGAGAUUCGGGUGUGCCUUCGGGAACUGUAAGACAGGUGCUGCAUGGCUGUCGUCAGCUCGUGUUGUGAAAUGUUGGGUUAAGUCCCGUAACGAGCGCAACCCUUGUCCUUAUUUGCCAGCACGUAAUGGUGGGAACUCUAAGGAGACUGCCGGUGACAAACCGGAGGAAGGUGGGGAAGACGUCAAGUCAUCAUGGCCCUUACGGGUAGGGCUACACACGUGCUACAAUGGCCGGUACAAAGGGCGGCGAGCUCGCGAGAGUCAGAGAAUCCCUUAAAGCCGGUCUCAGUCCGGAUCGGAGUCUGCAACUCGACUCCGUGAAGUCGGAAUCGCUAGUAAUCGUGAAUCAGAAUGUC